GAUGAACGCUGGCGGCGUGCCUAAUACAUGCAAGUCGAGCGAACGGACGAGAAGCUUGCUUCUCUGAUGUUAGCGGCGGACGGGUGAGUAACACGUGGAUAACCUACCUAUAAGACUGGGAUAACUUCGGGAAACCGGAGCUAAUACCGGAUAAUAUUUUGAACCGCGUGGUUCAAAAGUGAAAGGCGGUCUUGCUGUCACUUAUAGAUGGAUCCGCGCUGCAUUAGCUAGUUGGUAAGGUAACGGCUUACCAAGGCAACGAUGCAUAGCCGACCUGAGAGGGUGAUCGGCCACACUGGAACUGAGACACGGUCCAGACUCCUACGGGAGGCAGCAGUAGGGAAUCUUCCGCAAUGGGCGAAAGCCUGACGGAGCAACGCCGCGUGAGUGAUGAAGGUCUUCGGAUCGUAAAACUCUGUUAUUAGGGAAGAACAUAUGUGUAAGUAACUGUGCACAUCUUGACGGUACCUAAUCAGAAAGCCACGGCUAACUACGUG
rnacentral:rRNA from 1 species